rnacentral:rRNA from 1 species
UGGGGAAUUUUGGACAAUUGGGCGAAAGCCUGAUCCAGCAAUGCCGCGUGUGUGAAGAAGGCCUUCGGGUUGUAAAGCACUUUUGUCCGGAAAGAAAUCCUUGGCUCUAAUACAGUCGGGGGAUGACGGUACCGGAAGAAUAAGCACCGGCUAACUACGUGCCAGCAGCCGCAGUAAUACGUAGGGUGCAAGCGUUAAUCGGAAUUACUGGGCGUAAAGCGUGCGCAGGCGGUUUGCUAAGACCGAUGUGAAAUCCCCGGGCUCAACCUGGGAACUGCAUUGGUGACUGGCAGGCUAGAGUAUGGCAGAGGGGGGUAGAAUUCCACGUGUAGCAGUGAAAUGCGUAGAGAUGUGGAGGAAUACCGAUGGCGAAGGCAGCCCCCUGGGCCAAUACUGACGCUCAUGCACGAAAGCGUGGGGAGCAAACAGGAUUAGAUACCCUGGUAGUCCACGCCCUAAACGAUGUCAACUAGUUGUUGGGGAUUCAUUUCCUUAGUAACGUAGCUAACGCGUGAAGUUGACCGCCUGGGGAGUACGGUCGCAAGAUUAAAACUCAAAU